AACGAACGCUGGCGGCAGGCCUAACACAUGCAAGUCGAACGCCCCGCAAGGGGAGUGGCGCACGGGUGAGUAACGCGUGGGCAUAUGCCCUUCGGUUCGGAAUAACACAGGGAAACUUGUGCUAAUACCGGAUACGAUCUACGGAUGAAAGAUUUAUCGCUGAAGGAUGAACCCGCGUCUGAUUAGCUAGUUGGUGAGGUAACGGCUCACCAAGGCGACGAUCAGUAUCUGGUCUGAGAGGAUGAUCAGCCACACUGGAACUGAGACACGGUCCAGACUCCUACGGGAGGCAGCAGUGGGGAAUAUUGGACAAUGGGGGAAACCCUGAUCCAGCCAUGCCGCGUGAGUGAUGAAGGCCUUCGGGUUGUAAAGCUCUUUUGGGUGGGACGAUAAUGACGGUACCACCAGAAUAAGCUCCGGCUAACUUCGUGCCAGCCGCCGCCGUAA
rnacentral:rRNA from 1 species